UGGGCCGUGCCCACAACGCCUGCGCCGACCUGGGCGCGCACCUGGCCGUGGUCAGCGACGAGGACGAGCAGCUUUUCCUGCUGGAGCACAGCAACCGCAGCAGCUCCUACUGGCUGGGGCUGAGGGACACCGAGCAGACGGGGAAAUGGCGCUGGGUCACCGGCGAGGAGCCCAAAUUCAUCUUUUGGGACGCGUGGCUGCGGGAGGAGCGGCGGGGCCGGGGCGGCUGCGGC